rnacentral:rRNA from 1 species
AACGGCCGCGGUAUCCUGACCGUGUGAAGGUAGCGUAAUCAUUUGUCUUUUAAAUGAAGACCUGUAUGAAUGGCUUAACGAAAGCUUAACUGUCUCACUCUCCCCGUCAAUGAAAUUGAUCUCCCCGUGCAGAAGCGAGGAUAAAAACAUAAGACGAAAAGACCCUAUGGAGCUUUAGAAUACGAAAUAACCUUACCAAAUUUAACUUAAACAUUUUAAGGGACCUAUUUCUAUAUUCUUCGGUUGGGGCGACCACGGAGAAAAAUAAAACCUCCACAAAAUACACUUAUAUAUUUUUAAAUUAAGAGCAACAACUCUAACUUUCAGAAUAUCUGUUCACUAGUUGAUCCAGUUUACCAAAACCGACCAACGAAACAAGUUACCCUAGGGAUAACAGCGCAAUCCCCUUUUAGAGUCCACAUCGACAAGGGGGUUUACGACCUCGAUGUUGGAUCAGGACAUCCUAAU